GAAGGAGGCGUGGCCCGGGCGCCUCCGAACAAAACUUUAUGAGCGGCCACCCCGGGGGAGGACGAGGGCAGGGCUGUCACCCAGAGAGCUGGGCCAUCACCCAAUCAGAGCAGAGACGGAGGGCGGAGAGAAGUGGGCACUUUUCUGCAGCUCAUGUUGCCCACAAGGCUGGUUUCAGCCGGACAGGUGACUGAGGGAGUCAACUUCAGGACUGAGCUGUGUUGUGAGGCAGUGACAGAGCAUGACUUCAGACACAGAAGAGAACUGCCUGGAGCUGGGGAGAGAGUAUUUAGUAAAGAAAGGGUUUGCUUCUGCCUCCCUUUCAGCCAUCUCAGCAACUUAAAGAGGAGGGCAACAUACUUUAAGAGUGCAUGCUGUGUCUUUGCAGUCCACCACUGACGUAGGUGGAUGUGUGAGUAAGACUCAUUUUGUUGUUAAUUUAUCUUCUUGAUGCUCAAUAUCAGACUCCAUUUGCAUUGACUGAGUAACUGUGGAGUCGUUAUGAAGGCUAUACGAACUACAUUACUACCCUUGGAAGUGAUUACUGCUGAAUUUUUGCCUCUUAGGCCUCCAAACAGGAUAUUGCAUUAUUAUAUGCAAUUCUCUUCCCUGAUGUACUGUCUGAGUAUUGGCCAAACCAUCAGUGUACUACUGUGAUUCAUGCAGAACACUAAUCUCUAUGGAGCCGAAGUAAGUAUACAUAAGACUGUAAAUGAUUUUCAUCUCUAUGCCCCCCCUUCUUUUAUAACAUGGAGCUCUCACUCUUGCUGAAAUACUAUUAGAUGCAAUGUAGCAGCCAGAUUGCUAGAUGCUAUUAAAUCAUCAGAUCAUGGCUGGUGUCCUUACUCGCCUGUCUUUUCUGUGUAGGGAUUACAGGUUUGCCUGUUGGAGACUUGUGGACAUUGGAAUUCUUUUAAACGUGAUUGGUUUCCAACAGACACGUAUGGCUCUCAGACACAUGGAUAUCAGUCCAUGUGUGUGAUAGGUAGAACUACAGAACGAGCGUCACGGAUGUUCAUCCUUGAAGUUGAAGUUUCAGAGCUGGAGGAAUAGUUCGAAGCUGAAGUUGGUCUUCCAACCUGGUUAUGAGAAUUACAGAGUAUAAACUAUGCCUUACAUGCGUCAUUUGCUUUGGAAAAUAAAAACCUGUUUUGAAAGUAUUCGAAUAUGCAGAAAUGAGGAGUGUGGUACAUGCCAGUCAGUGAGGGCUUCCUCUUAGUUGCCGUGUUUAUUAGCCUGAGCCUGGUGCAAGGCACAGCAGCCAUUUGAAUAAGACACGCACAAGCCAGCUGGUAGCAUUGGGUGUGUUGGGCUAGUGAGCAGCAGAUUUCUUUCUUACUUAGGUCAUGUUCUUAUCUUUUGCUUGUCCAUGUUUAUAUUGGAGUAGCGCUCAGAGGCCCCAGAACUGAAGAAAAUAACCGCACUGCAGACAUUUAUGAAGUUGUCAUGACUGCUAACGCUUCUUCCUGCUCCACUGCCACUGCUACAAACUCUGCCAUAGUGCAGCAAAGAACUGAAUGGCUUCCGAAAGAAGUGUGUGAGGAAACGUGAGGAAGUGGCUGGAAGGAAUGGAGAGAGGAAAAGAGAGGAGGCUGGGAUUUCUGAGAAUGCAUCAGUACUUUAAGGAGUUGUUGAAUACAGCAUCUCACAUAUAUCUUGCUCAUCCUGCUGCCACUGCCAUUUCUGAAGUGGCUGAUGCUGCAGGUUAAGCUGUAUGUGCUUGCUGGAUCCAUCCCCUCAGAUGAAGGAGUAUUUGGUCAGGUUUGUGUGGAGCUACUCAGUUUUGCCCAGGAUGAAGAAAUCUUUUUAAUAUGCCAGAGCAUGGUAUAGGACUCUGGAUAGGCCGCCUGUGAAGCCAGAACACAUUCAGAGGAAGACAGUGCGUAGAUUUUCCGGUGCACAGUCUGAUCAUCCUAAAUCCACUGAAGUCCUCAUUUAGGCAUAUAUUGUUCUUCUGUUGUUGCUCUUAGACAUGCCCAACUGAUGAUCCUAUAAGGCCUCUUGAUCUAUGUGUGGAGACUGAUCUAACAUAUCAGGAUGUACUGGCUUUUGCACCAAAGAGAGAAUCCAGUUUCCAACUUCAGACUUUUCCACACAUUGCAUUGUGUAGCCAGGAAAGAAGAUACAGACUUCCACAACAAAUGGAAGUUGUGGAAUUUUCAACACAUAGAAACUUUUCAUGAAAACUUGGAAACUGCUCUGAAUCUGAGAUGGCAACCUGAAACCACAACAUUUCAUGUUAUAAUCAAACCAUAAAUCUCCCAAACUUCCAUAUUGAUUCUGCAGUAUAGCACUAAGCUUUCAUUUCAAAUCCUUCUGGAAGACUAGUAUAACUUCCUGUGUUGUUUUAGAGAAAAUAUAUUGCAUGAUCUGACUAGUUUUUACCACUAUUAUAAAGGGGUGACACAAUCUGUAAGGCUUUCCUUUACUGUAACUUUGUUUUUCAGCUGAAUUGUUUUAAGAGGAAGAAACCGGGACAGCCAAGGCCUGUAAACCAUUUAUUGCCCAGUUUUAAAGGCUCAAGAAGAAUUUAAAUGAUGCGUAGGUUUUGUGCUGGCUGUGUCCACUUGUAACAAUUUUAUCCCUGUGAAUUCUUGUUCAAGCUGUCUAGACCCCCUAUGUUGCCAUGGCUUUGUGAAGCCUAUCUUUGCAGUGCAACCUUUGACCUUCCUUAAAGCUGCUGAACAGCA